rnacentral:rRNA from 1 species
GAUGAACGCUAGCGGCAGGCCUAAUACAUGCAAGUCGGACGGUAAAUGGCCCUUCGGGGCUAUGAGAGUGGCGCACGGGUGCGUAACGCGUAUGCAACCUACCCAAUGCUGGCGGAUAGCCCGGAGAAAUUCGGAUUAAGCCGUCAUGAGGAGCGGAGAGGGCAUCCUUUCUGUUUCAAAUAUUCAUAGGCGUUGGAUGGGCAUGCGUGCUAUUAGAUAGUUGGUGGGGUAACGGCCUACCAAGUCGACGAUCAGUAGCCGGUCUGAGAGGAUGAACGGCCACAUUGGGACUGAGAUACGGCCCAGACUCCUACGGGAGGCAGCAGUGGGGAAUAUUGGGCAAUGGGGGAAACCCUGACCCAGCAACGCCGCGUGAAGGAAGAAGGCCUUCGGGUUGUAAACUUCUUUUACCAGGGACGAAGAACGUGACGGUACCUGGAGAAAAAGCAACGGCUAACUACGUG